UUGCACGCUGGCGGCAUGCUUUACACAUGCAAGUCGCACGGUAACAGGCCUUCGGGUGCUGACGAGUGGCGAACGGGUGAGUAAUGCAUCGGAACGUGCCCAGAGGUGGGGGAUAACGCAGCGAAAGCUGUGCUAAUACCGCAUGUGAUCUGAGGAUGAAAGCGGGGGACCAAGCAGCAAUGUUUGGCCUCGCGCCUCUGGAGCGGCCGAUGUCAGAUUAGGUAGUUGGUGGGGUAAAGGCCUACCAAGCCGACGAUCUGUAGCUGGUCUGAGAGGACGACCAGCCACACUGGGACUGAGACACGGCCCAGACUCCUACGGGAGGCAGCAGUGGGGAAUUUUGGACAAUGGGCGCAAGCCUGAUCCAGCAAUGCCGCGUGCGGGAAGAAGGCCUUCGGGUUGUAAACCGCUUUUGUACGGAACGAAAAGGCUCUGGCUAAUACCUGGGGCUGAUGACGGUACCGUAAGAAUAAGCACCGGCUAACUACGUG
rnacentral:rRNA from 1 species